ensembl:lncRNA
AUUGAUCAUGUAGUAAAUCAUGGUCACUCAAUGAGAGAGGCUGGUCAGAGAGUGCAGCCAAAUCUGCAACGCUCUACAGUGGCAUCUAUUGUUAGAGUUUUCCGGCAAACCAACAGGACUCAACGGUUACCUCACACAGGAGGGAGAGGACGGAUGUUCACUGAUGUGCAGGAAACUGCCAUUGUUGAUAUGGUCAUCAGAAACAAUGGGAUAAAACUCACUGAGAUUAGACACAGAGUCUUGGCAGACAACGUUACUUUCGCAAAUAUUCACAGUGUAAGCAUAACAACAAUUUCUAGAGUCCUGAAAAAACAUCAGGUCAGGAUGAAACAGUUGUACACUGUGCCUUUUGAGAGGAACUCUGAACAUGUCAAGCAACUCAGGAACCAGUAUGUCCAGGUGAGAAUAGGUGAGUCUUCAACCUGGAUUUAAAUAAACUGAGUGUUUCAGCUGAUCUGAGGCUUUCUGGGAGUUUGUUCCAGAUAUAAGGAGCAUAAAAGCUGAAUGCAGCUUCUCCGUGUCUGGUUCUGACUCUGGGGACUGAUAACAGACCGGAUCCAGAUGACCUGAGAGAUCUGGAAGGUUCAUACUGGGUCAGGAGGUCACUGAUGAAGGCAGGCAAACACACCACAUUUUCAUCUUUGUGGAUGAGGCAGGUUUCAACUUGGCCAAAGCACGGCGACGAGGGAGGAAUGUGAUUGGGAAGAGAGCCACAGUGAAUGUCCCGGGCCAGAGGGGUGCCAACAUCACAUGUGGGCAGCAAUAUCCACUGAUGGACUGCUGUUACACAGACCACUAAUUGGGCCAUACAACACUGAACGGCUCCUUGCGUUCCUGCAUGAUCUCUAUGGAAGGGUUGUGCUAGGUGAGGAAAGGGAUGCGGAGAGAAGGAAUCAGCCAACAUUUAUAAUUGUAUGGGACAAUGUGGCAUUUCAUCACUCCCGUGGAGUCACCGAGUGGUUUGCAGCCCAUCCCAGAAUGGAGUCUCUUUUCCUCCCACCUUACUCUCCAUUCCUCAACCCCAUAGAGGAAUUCUUUUCCUCAUGGCGGUGGAAGGUUUACGACCAUCAUCCACAUGAUCAAAUGUCCCUCCUGGAUGCAAUGAAUGCUGGAUGCCUGGAGAUAUCAGCAGAAGAUUGCCAGGGAUGGAUCAGGCAUGCCAGAAGAUUCUUUCCUAGGUGCAUUGCCCUAGAUGACAUAAGAUGUGAUGUGGAUGAGAACCUGUGGCCAAAUGGAGAAGACCGAGUAGAUUAGCAUUACUAUUGUAUGUGUAUCAGUGGAUGGGGUGUAUGCAAAUUCUUGUAUUUUGGGAUUAC